rnacentral:rRNA from 1 species
UAGCUAAUCCUGGUCGGACAUCAGGAGGUUAGUGCAAUGGCAUAAGCUAGCUUGACUGCGAGCGUGACGGCGCGAGCAGGUGCGAAAGCAGGUCAUAGUGAUCCGGUGGUUCUGAAUGGAAGGGCCAUCGCUCAACGGAUAAAAGGUACUCCGGGGAUAACAGGCUGAUACCGCCCAAGAGUUCAUAUCGACGGCGGUGUUUGGCACCUCGAUGUCGGCUCAUCACAUCCUGGGGCUGAAGUAGGUCCCAAGGGUAUGGCUGUUCGCCAUUUAAAGUGGUACGCGAGCUGGGUUUAGAACGUCGUGAGACAGUUCGGUCCCUAUCUGCCGUGGGCGCUGGAGAAUUGAGGGGGGCUGCUCCUAGUACGAGAGGACCGGAGUGGACGCAUCACUGGUGUUCGGGUUGUCAUGCCAAUGGCACUGCCCGGUAGCUAAAUGCGGAAGAGAUAAGUGCUGAAAGCAUCUAAGCACGAAACUUGCCCCGA